ensembl:lncRNA
CUCACUCUGACUGGACCCUGGCAGCGAGGUCGUGCCCUGGGAUGGCCCAGCAUCACCCUGCUGUGUCCGGGGUCGUGCUGUUUCCCUGGCAUUCGCUUUUUAAACUAGAUAACAGUCGUAGCUGUUACUUAUCACAUGCGCAUUAUGGGCCCUGAAUCCCAGUCUUGAAUCCUGAGAAGAAACCGGCAGGGAGGUCACCAUUUGUGCUACUUAAGGUCGAUGUCCAGAGGGUUGUUCCCCUCAACACACCACCCCUGUGAGUCCUGCAGCUGGAAGGAAAGAGUGGAUCCAGUCUGUGCCCGGCUCUCUCCGCCCUCCGAGGGAGGGGCAGGCGUGGUGACCUUGAGCCUGGCCCGUGACCUUCCCAGAGUCUCCUGGACUGCAAGAAGAUCCAACCAGUCCAUCCUAAAGGAAAUCAGUCCUGAAUAUUCAUGGGAAGGAUUGGUGCUGAAGCUGAAACUCCAGUACUCUUUGGCCACCUGAUGCGAAGAACUGACUCGCUGGAAAAGACCCUGAUGCUGGGAAAGAUUGAAGGCGGGAGGAGAAGGAGACGACAGAGGAUGAGACGGUUGGAUGGCAUCAUGAACUCAAUGGACAUGAGUUUGAGUAAAGUCCGGGAGUUGGUGAUGGACAGGGAGGCCGGGCAUGCUGCACCAUGGGGUCACAAAGAGUCAGACACGACUGAGAGACAGCAACUCUCCUCUACCCCCUCCAGACAGGACUCCAUCUGGAUCAAUUCCUUCAUCCCCAAGAACUUCCCUCAAUAUGUCUUACCCUGCAGGUGGUGAAUUCCCUGUUUACCUGUAAACAUCUUUUUCUGCUUUCAUUUCGAGGGAUAUUGUCACUGGAGGCACAAUUUUGGAUCGACAUGUCCUGAGUCCCACACUUUCCGUCCC